UACGUAGGGGGCAAGCGUUGUCCGGAUUUAUUGGGCGUAAAGAGCGUGUAGGCGGCCAGACAGGUCCGUUGUGAAAACUCGAGGCUCAACCUCGAGACGCCGAUGGAAACCGUCUGGCUAGAGUCCGGAAGAGGAGAGUGGAAUUCCUGGUGUAGCGGUGAAAUGCGCAGAUAUCAGGAAGAACACCGGUGGCGAAGGCGGUUCUCUGGGAAUGACCUGACGCUGAGGAGCGAAAGUGUGGGGAGCGAACAGG
rnacentral:rRNA from 1 species